rnacentral:rRNA from 1 species
UGUCCCGUAACGAGCGCAACCCUUAAUAUUAGUUGCCAGCAUUCAGUUGGGCACUCUAAUGUGACUGCCGGUGACAAACCGGAGGAAGGUGGGGAUGACGUCAAAUCAUCAUGCCCCUUAUGACCUGGGCUACACACGUGCUACAAUGGAUGGAACAACGAGCAGCGAAGUAGUGAUGCUAAGCUAAUCUCUUAAAGCCAUUCUCAGUUCGGAUUGUAGGCUGCAACUCGCCUACAUGAAGCAGGAAUCGCUAGUAAUCGCGGAUCAGCAUGCCGCGGUGAAUACGUUCCCGGGCCUUGUACACACCGCCCGUCACGCCAUGGAAGCCGGGGGUGCCUGAAGUUCGUUUCCGCAAGGAGCGACCUAGGGCAAAACUGGUAACUGGGGCUAAGUCGUAACAAGGUAGCA